rnacentral:rRNA from 1 species
AUUGAACGCUGGCGGCAGGCCUAACACAUGCAAGUCGAGCGGAGCGGCGGACGGGUGAGUACUGCCUACGAAUCUGCCUGGUAGUGGGGGAUAACGUCUGGCAACGGGCGCUAAUACCGCAUACUAUCAGAUGAGCCUAGGUCGGAUUAGCUAGUUGGUGGGGUAAAGGCUUACCAAGGCGACGAUCCGUACCUGGUCUGAGAGGAUGAUCAGUCACACUGGAACUGAGACACGGUCCAGACUCCUACGGGAGGAAGCAGUGGGGAAUAUUGGACAAUGGGCGAAAGCCUGAUCCAGCCAUGCCGCGUGUGUGAAGAAGGUCUUCGGAUUGUAAAGCACUUUAAGUUGGGAAGCGUUACCAACAGAGUAAGCACCGGCUAACUACGUGCCAGCAGCCGCGGUAAUAC